AAUAUAUUUUUUACAUGCAGCUAGACGUAGACCACUACUAUACCGACGACUACAGUCCGUACGGUGACUUUUGUGCCAGAAUACCCCUGAUUUUAUUCGCUAUUAGGCCACGAGGUUCAAUGAAAUCUGGGAUUAUAUCAUUAUUAUUUUCCAUUUGACUCGAGCUUGGGUUGAAUAGUUAGCGAUGAGUGGACAUUGGGGUGAGAUGAGUGGGUCAAUUGUUUCACCUUUGACCUCCUCUAUGGUUGACAUGGAGACCCUGGCCAUGAAGUCACAGAGUGUCCAGGUGAAAGUGCCUCAUCUUCAUCAACCUUGUGCUCAACAGAAGCCACAGAUUCAUCAAUUGCAGUCUGAGUUAUGCCGACCUGAUGUGACCAGUCUCCACUCAAUAGAAUUACUCAAACACUGCAGGCAAAUCAGAACAAGAAUGCUCACGCACCACCAUCAUCAAGAAUCCUCGAAAGGAGAAGAGACAUUCAGCAAUACCAGGCUACCACCCCUACCGCCCCAGCCUCAGGUGCAAACCACUGAUAAGCCAUUUAUCCCCGUCAUCACUGGUAUCAAAGCAAGACCAGAGUGUCCAAGAUUAAAACUCUCUGAUGGAAGUAUCGAGAUUGACGCUGGGAUAGCCAGACAACUCACCUGUCGAGCAGUCGCCACUAUCUGUUCGCAUAGUGGAUAUGAUUCAAGUCAGGAAUCUUCAUUGGAAACAUUAACAGAUGUUCUUCAGGAGUUCUUAUGUAACACUUGUAAACUACUCAGAGUAGCUGUAGACAGGGAGGCGCUUACUGGCCACACAGGAUUCCAAGACACCCUCAGCCAAGUAUUCCAUGAGAUUGGUGUCGGGAGCACUCAGACCCUCAUCAGUUUCUGGAAGACCAGGAUACGAGACUAUCAUGACCGCAUCCUGAAACAGACCCAGGAAAUAAGAGGGAAAUACGAGGACAUGAAGAAUCCAAAUUACCAGCCACAAGAUGACAAGUCACCGAGGGUGAAAGAAGAGCCGCUGUCUGAUAUUUCCUUCCAUGAUCCUCAGUCACAACCCCAUGACGAUAGCCAUGAGAACAACAGUGAAACAUCCUCAUCAGAAGUACCAUCCAAUCAACCACUCUCUUUCCACAGCCUCAGUGGGAUGGACUUGGAUGACUCCGGUGGUGCAGUGACGGUGGUUGAAAGGGGAGGAGAGAGAAGAGGAGGGGAGGAGGAGGAGGUGGAUGAGAGCAGCAGUGAAUGGUACCAGGGGGUGAAGGAAGAAGAUAAUGGGGAGGAUGUAUCAAGCUCAUCGGCGGGGAUAGCUGGUGUGAAGAGAGAGCUGAUGAGUGGGGACGAUGAGAACGCACAGGACGUGAAGAUUGAAGAAGCAAUAAUUGGGGAAGCCCCUCUUAUAUCCCACAUGCAAACAAGCCACGCCCUCGAUGUUGAUAACACCUCACCCGUAGAAAAGAAGAUACACUUGAAUAUGCCACCAAGAAAGAAGUAAGUACUGGUACCGAAACUUCCCUUCUUUGUUAUUUUGAUGAUUCUUAUGUUACCUGCUACCCUAAAACCAUCAAUAACUGGCCCCAAAUGAAUUUUGAGAUUGUAUUGAGCUUGAAAAAGGCACCUCCUAAUCUUUUAAAUGGUAUAAAACUUGUCAUGAUUGAUCAACAUAUCCCACACUAGUACUUGAUUACAUGCAGGGCUGUUGACUGUUAAAGGCAUUGGGUAAAAUUGAUUUGACUUUAAAAAAUCUGAGCUGCGAGGUCCCUUUUGUCACCUGUGUCUGUGAUAUGUUACAAAAAUGAAGCCCAGAAAAAAUUGUGUCCAAAAAUCAUUAUUUCGUGCUUCAAAAAGUGAAAUAUAAAGUGACCGGAAACACCAUCUUAAUUUCAUCACAUACACUUAUGUGUUUUAUUAUUAUCGGCACGACAGAAAUGACACAAAAUCUACGAUUAUGAUGUAUCAAAAGCAUUCAGAGUUUUUAGGUCGAUAGAAAGGCAUCCAUGUACAUAUUUCAUCUCUCCUUUGUUUUCUUUUUAAAUUACAUGUCUAUAACGUUAUAUUAUGCCUUUGAUAAGCCUUCUUGUAGAUAUAAGGAAAUUUAACUCCUCAAAAUACAGCUAAUACUUCAAGGUAAUAACUAGAAUGGAAGAUGAUGAAAUAACCAAGAGAAAAAGAAGUAGUGGAUGGGAUGUCCAGGUUGGGUUGGAAUAUUGAAAUAUUUAGAAUCAAUCGAUCAAAAUUUUGAUUUUGUGUAAUUAUUUGAAGUGUUCUUAAGAAUGUUUUUAUUAAUUGUAUUACUCUCAUGUACUUGUGUUCUUAAUAUUUAUUUGAAUACAUAUCUGGUUUUUGUCUCGCCUGCAUAGCAGAGCGAGACUAUAGGCGCCGCUUUUCCGACGGCGGCGACGGUGACAGCGGCGUCGUCAACAUUGAAAUCUUAACCAAGGUUAAAGUUUUGAAAUGUCAUCAUAACUUAGAAAGUAUAUGGACCUAGUUCAUGAAACUUAAGCAUAAGGGUAAUCAAGUAUUACUGAACAUCCUGCUUUAGUUUCAGGUCACAUGACCAAGGUCAAAGGUCAUUUAGGGUCAAUGAACUUAGACCAUGUUGGGGAAAUCAAUAUCGAAAUCUUAACCAAGGUUAAGUUUUUGAAAUGUCAUCAUCACAACUUCUAAAGUAUAUGGACCUAGUUCAUGAAACUUGGACAUAAGGGUGAUAGUGUAUCACUGAGGAUCCUGCCAGAGUUUCAUGUCACAUGACCAAGGUCAAAGUUCAUGAAACUUGGGACAUAAGAUUAACCAUGUAUCCCUGAAUAUCUUGUGCUUGUUUCUGGUCACAUGACCAAAAUCAAAGGUCAUUUAGGGUCAAUGAACUUUGGUCAUGUUUGGGGUAUAUUUUGUUGAAUUUGCAUCAUAACUUAGAAAGUGUAUGGAUCUACACAUGUAGUUCAUGAAACAUAGACAUUAAGGGUAAUAAAGUAUGAAUGAUUGUUUUGCACAUGUCUUAGGUCACAUGAUCAUGGUCAAAGGUCAUGUUUGGUCAAUGGACGUAGUAUUCUUUUGUGAAUAAUUAUUUAACUGCUGCUAUAUCGAAUCGCGUAAUGCGGGCGAGACUGCCAGAGGCGUUCCACUUGUUUUUCAUUCUUAUCUCUUUAACUUUCUUUAUCCUUUCUAUUGUAUUAUCUUUCAGGAAGAAGAAGUGAAUCGAUUUGGAGAUCAUUUUUGUCUCGCCUGCAUAGCAGAAGUGAUACAUACAUAUAGGCAGCGGCAUCAACAUUGAAAUUUUAACCAAGAACCAAGGUUAAGUUUUUGAAAUGUCAUCAUAACUUUAAAAAGAUAUUGACCUUUUUCUUGAAACUUGGACAUAAGGGUAAUAAAUAAGGUAUCACUUAGAAUUAUGCAAUAGUUUCAGUUCACAUGAUCAGGCUACAGGUCAUUUAGAGUCUAUGAACUAUGAGCAUGUUGUGGUAUUAACAUCAAUAUCUCGACAAAGGUUAUGAUUUUGAAUCUAUAAGAUAAUUUUGGAAGUAUAAGUCCCUAUUGUGUAACACUUACAUAUAAUGGUUAUCAAUUUUCAUCAAGUAGAUGAAUGAAAAUCUGACAUCACUAGCAUGGGGCAAAAGUCAUUUGGGUUAAACUGAUACAAAAUUUAAAAUAGGUAUAGUAAAAUUUAAGAUUUUGAACUUUUAUAAGUCUUGAUUGUGUUAAACUCGGAUAUAAUGGUACACAGGUAUCAAAGCAUUUCUAUGAGUCUUUGCUGUUGAGAUCAUAGAUUGUUAUGGGUCUCGUUGGAAGAUUUCACAUCUCAGACUUGGUAGCAACUAUUUUGUGAAGGUCAGGGUUUGCCUCAUAGAUUGAGGCCACUUGCUCGAGGGCUUCUUACUUGAAUAAAUCUUUUGGGCUGCUGUUCAUUUUAUUUCAAAGAAGGAAUUGUCCAAUAUGUUGUUCUGUAAAUAGAGAUAUUAAAAUUGUGAUAUUAA